GAAUUUACCAUUUCAAAACAAAAACAAAAAGAAGAACCACAUUGUGAACUUUAUAUAUGUUUUACUCAUAUAUCCCUAUAACAAUAUGUAUCAUCUACUAGUAUAUGUGAUAAAAGAAAUAAAAGUUGUUACAAAGGAAUUAAGUUCGAUUAUGCAUAAAAGUUAUCAAAAAGAAAAAAAAAAUGCAACUACGUUAGUCGAACCUGG
rnacentral:lncRNA from 1 species